rnacentral:rRNA from 1 species
GCAAGUCGAACGGUAACAGGUCGCUGCGAUCCCUUCGGGGUGAACUUGACGCUGACGAGUGGCGGACGGGUGAGUAAUACUUAGGAAUCUACCCAGUAGUGGGGGACAACACGACGAAAGUCGUGCUAAUACCGCAUACGCCCUAAGGGGGAAAGUGGAGGAUCUUCGGACUUCACGCUAUUGGAUGAGCCUAAGCCGGAUUAGCUUGUUGGUGAGGUAAAGGCCUACCAAGGCGACGAUCCGUAGCUGGUCUGAGAGGAUGGCC